rnacentral:rRNA from 1 species
AGUACCCGAAGGAAAAGAAAUCAAGAGAGAUUCUCCAAGUAGCGGCGAGCGAACGGGGAGGAGCCUGGCGUGAUUUAUUAUUGAACUGAGUAGAACAAUUUGGGAAAGUUGGCGAUAGAGGGUGAAAGCCCCGUAUACGAAGGUUUGAUGAGGAACUAGGCACGCGAACAAGUAGGCCGGGACACGUGAAAUCCUGGUUGAAGAUGGGUGGACCAUCAUCCAAGGCUAAAUACUACUUACUGACCGAUAGUGAACCAGUACCGUGAGGGAAAGGUGAAAAGAACCCCGGAGAGGGGAGUGAAAUAGAAUCUGAAACCGUUUGCGUACAAGCAGUGGGAGCAUGGUUUAGGCUGUGUGACUGCGUACCUUUUGUAUAAUGGGUCAGCGAGUUACUUUCAGUGGCGAGGUUAACUGAAUAAGGGAGCCGUAGAGAAAUCGAGUCUGAAUAGGGCGAUAGUCGCUGGGAGUAGACCCGAAACCGGGCGAUCUAGCCAUGUGCAGGAUGAAGGUUGGGUAACACCAACUGGAGGUCCGAACCGGGUAAUGUUGAAAAAUUAUCGGAUGACGUGUGGCUAGGAGUGAAAGGCUAAUCAAGCCCGGAGAUAGCUGGUUCUCCCCGAAAGCUAUUUAGGUAGCGCCUCGUGAAUGAUUACUGGGGGUAGAGCACUGUUUCGGCUAGGGGGCUGUCAUGGCUUACCAAACCGAUGCAAACUCCGAAUACCGGCUAAUUGAAUCACGGGAGACACACGGCGGGUGCUAACGUCCGUCGUGGAGAGGGAAACAACCCAGACCGCCAGCUAAGGUCCCCAAGUACUAGUUAAGUGGGAAACGAUGUGGGAAGGCAUAGACAGCCAGGAGGUUGGCUUAGAAGCAGCCACCCUUUAAAGAAAGCGUAAUAGCUCACUGGUCGAGUCGGCCUGCGCGGAAGAUGUAACGGGGCUAAAACUAGUCACCGAAGCUGCGGAUGUGCGCGAAGGCGCACGUGGUAGGGGAGCGUUCUGUAGGCUGAUGAAGGUGCAUUGAGAAGUGUGCUGGAGGUAUCAGAAGUGCGAAUGCUGACAUGAGUAACGAUAAUGUGGGUGAAAAGCCCACACGCCGGAAGUCCCAGGUUUCCUGCACGACGUUAAUCGGAGCAGGGUGAGUCGGCCCCUAAGGCGAGGCUGAAGAGCGUAGUCGAUGGGAACCAGGUUAAUAUUCCUGGACUUUUUAUAAGUGGUGAAGUGGGGACGAAGAAGGCUAGGUGAGCCAGGCGUUGGUUGUCCUGGUACUUGCAUGUAGGGGGGAAGACUUGGCAAAUCCGGUUUUCCAUAACUCUGAGGUGCGAAGUGGUUCUGACCUUUUGGUACAGAGAAGUCAUUGAUGCCCGGCUUCCAGGAAAAGCUGCUAGCCAUAACUUAUAGAGAACCGUACCGCAAACCGACACAGGUGGACAGGUAGAGAAUACUAAGGCGCUUGAGAGAACUCGGGUGAAGGAACUAGGCAAAAUGGUACCGUAACU